UUAAUUGAAGCCAAAAAGAGGCGUAUCACUGUUAAUGCUAUCAUUGAAUAAUUUAUUCCAAUUAAG
rnacentral:tRNA from 1 species